CCGGCACGGGGAGGUAGUGACGAAAAAUAACGAUACGGGACUCAUCCGAGGCCCCGUAAUCGGAAUGAGUACACUUUAAAUCCUUUAACGAGGAUCCAUUGGAGGGCAAGUCUGGUGCCAGCAACCGCGGUAAUUCCAGCUCCAAUAGCGUAUAUUAAAGUUGUUGCGGUUAAAAAGCUCGUAGUUGAAUCUGUGUGUCACGAUGUUGGUUCACCGCUCGCGGUGUUUAACUAGCAUGCCGUGAGACGUCCUACCGGUGGGCUUAGCUCUUAACGGGGCGGUCCAACAUACUCCCAUCGUGGUGCUCUUCACUGAGUGUCGAGGUGGGCCGGUACGUUUACUUUGAACAAAUUAGAGUGCUUAAAGCAGGCUAUUUUCGCCUGAAUACUGUGUGCAUGGAAUAAUGGAAUAGGACCUCGGUUCUAUUUUGUUGGUUUUCGGAACCCCGAGGUAAUGAUUAAUAGGGACAGAUGGGGGCAUUCGUAUUGCGACGUUAGAGGUGAAAUUCUUGGAUCGUCGCAAGACGGACAGAAGCGAAAGCAUUUGCCAAAAAUGUUUUCAUUAAUCAAGAACGAAAGUUAGAGGUUCGAAGGCGAUCAGAUACCGCCCUAGUUCUAACCAUAAACGAUGCCAGCUAGCGAUCCGCCGAAGUUCCUCCGAUGACUCGGCGGGCAGCUUCCGGGAAACCAAAGCUUUUGGGUUCCGGGGGAAGUAUGGUUGCAAAGCUGAAACUUAAAGGAAUUGACGGAAGGGCACCACCAGGAGUGGAGCCUGCGGCUUAAUUUGACUCAACUCGGGAAACCUCACCAGGCCCGGACACCGGAAGGAUUGACAGAUUGACAGCUCUUUCUUGAUUCGGUGGGUGGUGGUG
rnacentral:rRNA from 1 species